UUGGCCUUCCUUCCCUACCCUACA
rnacentral:miRNA from 1 species